rnacentral:rRNA from 1 species
UACAGAGGUCUCAAGCGUUGUUCGGAUUCAUUGGGCGUAAAGGGUGUGUAGGUGGCGCCGUAAGUCGGGUGUGAAAUUUCGGAGCUUAACUCCGAAACUGCAUUCGAUACUGCGGUGCUUGAGGACUGGAGAGGAGACUGGAAUUCAUGGUGUAGCAGUGAAAUGCGUAGAGAUCAUGAGGAAGACCAGUGGCGAAGGCGGGUCUCUGGACAGUUCCUGACACCGAGACACGAAGGCCAGGGGAGCAAACGGG